AGCAGUCUGUCUUACAGCGAAUCUAAAGAAGCCUUCAACUGAAGACCCUGAUGUUGUAUGACAUUCUGAUGAAGAGGAUGCUCAAGGUUGUCCAUUGUGUUCUUCAUUUUUUGAAGAAUCCUUCCUUGCAAAAUGAUGACAGAAAAGAUCACACUUCUUUAUUGCACUUGUAUUCAGUAACGCUUCAUUAUUGAGUCUCUAGCCCAGGCUGUUGUCUAGGUGAACAGUGAGGUACGUAAAGAUUUUCACCACCUCCACUUCUUUAACGAUGGAAAUAGUGUUUGUCAUAUUCCUGUUUAUGUCAUGUUUGUGAUGGCCAUGUAGCUCAGCUGAGCACAAUUAUCUGAUCAUUUCACUCACCUAUUUCACCAGUUUUUAUACCUUUCAGUCUCUCCUCCAAUGCCAGAUCAUCUGUUUGCCUUUCCACAGCAUUCCAAUAGUUUUCACGAUCAACUUAUUGUGUAUGACUCAUUGCCACAACUACGAUACUUGCUAAACCUUUGCUGGACGAAGCUUUCCUCGUAUACUGUCUUGAUCCUGAGCUAUUGGCUGCUCAGACUUUUGGAUUUCUCAGUUUACUUCCUUAUGGCCUUUCCACGACACACUUUAAGGUCUGUUCAAUUAACAAGUGUUCAUAAGCAGCCAUCUUCAGGUAAACAUACUUCAAAGGGCUAACUGUUUCCUGGUGUAAGGGCUUCAUUACCCAAACUCACGUUUCGCUUUUGACAUUCUUUCCGGUGCCUCUCCUGACUUGUCUUUGUAAGACUGCAAUGUACUUCUCUAUGUGCUUUCUUUUCUUAUGUUUUAUUCAUGUAAAGCACUGAAUUUUUCUGUUACUGAAAUGUGCUAUACAAAUAAACUUGCCUUGCCUUCCCUGAAUUGAACCCUGCUUUCUCUUACACUUUUCUCUGUAUUUCAGAUUGUUCCUGAGGAGUGGAGAGCCAAAGCUGGGAUUAUCCAUCUGCUUACAUGAACUCAGUUUAAAUAAACCUCUUUUGACUCUUC